UUUACAUUCACAUUAUACAGCACUGGGGUUUAAAAUGCGCACUGAGAGUCAGUGCGAGGGGCCGAACACAUGGCACGGGGGAACAGAACUGGGUGGAUUUUUCUCCAUCUGCAGGGGAGGAAAGGAUUCCCCACAAAACCACAAGAGGGUGAUCUUUCAAUACACAAACCCACUGACUUUUCAUCAACUCGGAAAAUGGUCAUUUCAGGAAAUUCUGGUCAUGAAAAGCAAUAAACCUUUAAGAAGCAUAGUGUGUUGUGGGUCUCGGCAUUGCUCAGCUCUGGGUAACUGUCUCUCUGGGAUGGUGUUUUGGAAUCAGUGAGCUCCACCUGCUGCCGCUGAUAUGCAAGCAAUGGAUCAAAGCCAGGAUUGGCCCAAGAACACAACUUGCCACACACACACACACACACACACACACAGGGGACAUGUGAGUCAGCCCUGCAUAUCAGCCAGGCUGCACUCAUUCACAAACACACACUGCUCACUGCCCAUGUUAACAGACUGAUGAAACACUACAUAUUGCCCUUCAGGCUGAGAAAAUAUUAUUAUUCAAUAAUAUUGUGAUUUUUUAAAAAUUAUUUGAUAUUGUAGAUCAUUAU